AUUGAACGCUGGCGGCGUGCCUCAGACAUGCAAGUCGAACGAUUAAAGCUCUCUUCGGAGAGUGUAUAGAGUGGCGCACGGGUGAGUAACACGUAAGUAAUCUACCCUCGAGUGGGGAAUAACAACCGGAAACGGUUGCUAAUACCGCAUAAUGCAGCGGCACCGCAAGGUGACAGUUGUUAAAGAUUUAUCGCUUGAGGAGGAGCUUGCGGCAGAUUAGCUAGUUGGUAGGGUAACGGCUUACCAAGGCUACGAUCUGUAACCGGUCUAAAAGGACGGUCGGUCACACUGACACUGAAUAACGGGUCAGACUCCUACGGGAGGCAGCAGUCGGGAAUUUUGGGCAAUGGGCGAAAGCCUGACCAGCAACGCCGCGUGAAGGAUGAAGUAUUUCGGUAUGUAAACUUCGAAAGAAUAGGAAGAAUUAAUGACGGUACUAUUUAUAAGGUCCGGCUAACUACGUGCCAGCAGCC
rnacentral:rRNA from 1 species